AAUCUCAAUUCUAUCUGAGAAUAAUCCGCUGUUAACAGUAACCAGUUCUCCUGCAAGGAAACAAUAAAUGAGGAGGACCACAGGUGUUACAUGCUUCAUUUCUCUCAAAUAAGGUCUCAUGCUCAAGUCUGGUGUAUAUGACAAAAUACAAAAGAGCAUGCUAGCCUCUGAGGGUGUUCACGACUCAAACAAAAUUGCCCCCCUAGGGAGCUAGACCAAAAACAACUGGUUUUCUGAUGAUGAAGUUCAGAGUACUAAACAUGCAAUAUAUUGAUAAAAAAACAAAAUUAAGUCAAAUUUGGUUUUCAGGGGAUAAAUACCAAUUUAUGUAAAGUUAUAGUGAUCAAGUUUCAACUGAUUUCAGUAAUUAUACCACCAAAAAUGACAACAAAACAGGACAGUUGGGUAAGAGAAAGAGGAUGCCCAAUAACAGCUGUGUACAUAAGAGAGGA